GUAUAGAAAGGAGAAGAAAAAUAAAGCAAUAAAGUGAAAAGACACGAAAAAUAAAUGAAAAUUGCGAGGAUCGAGGGGAUUAAUCAGCACGUUAAUAGUAAGAAAUGGAGUGAUAAAAAUAUAACAAAAGAGAAGGACAGAAAGAAGAAGAAAUACAUGAUUCUUAUUUUUAACAAAGAAAGAAGAGGGAGAAACAAGCAAUAUAACAGGCGAUCACCGCUAUUUGGACGUGGCACACCUGAAGACGGAAGAGAAGUUUGAGUCUCCAACCACCCUUCCGGAGAGAGAGAAAGGAAAAAAAACCUGUUCCUGCCAAGGUACAUCUAGAACUAAUUUUUGGCAUCCAAUCCACACCGUUGGAAAAGAGAACAAUCAAGCCAUCAUACCCAAAAGAAGAAAGGAUUAGCAUAUUUUACAGUGAUAGUGUGUGAGAUUGGGACUAAAGACUCUCUAAUUAGGACUAAAGAUCUUUCAAAAUUGAAUUGUGAUUGAAGACAAUUGAAUCUAUGGGAAAACGUCACAUUUUCAACAGAGUGGUUUCUAUUUUGUAAAGGC
rnacentral:lncRNA from 1 species